CCUGAAGUGGGGGAUAACCAUUGGAAACGAUGGCUAAUACCGCAUAAUACCUACGGGUCAAAGAGGGGGACCUUCGGGCCUCUCGCGUCAGGAUAUGCCUAGGUGGGAUUAGCUAGUUGGUGAGGUAAUGGCUCGCCAAGGCGACGAUCCCUAGCUGGUCUGAGAGGAUGAUCAGCCACACUGGAACUGAGACACGGUCCAGACUCCUACGGGAGGCAGCAGUGGGGAAUAUUGCACAAUGGGCGCAAGCCUGAUGCAGCCAUGCCGCGUGUGUGAAGAAGGCCUUCGGGUUGUAAAGCACUUUCAGUCGUGAGGAAGGGUAGUGUAGUUAAUAGCUGCAUUAUUUGACGUUAGCGGACAGAAGAAGCACCGGCUAACUCCGUGCCAGCAGCCGCGGUAAUACGGAGGGUGCGAGCGUUAAUCGGAAUUACUGGGCGUAAAGCGCAUGCAGGUGGUUUGUUAAGCCAGAUGUGAAAGCCCGGGGCUCAACCUCGGAAUAGCAUUUGAAACUGGCAGACUAGAGUACUGUAGAGGGGGGUAGAAUUUCAGGUGUAGCGGUGAAAUGCGUAGAGAUCUGAAGGAAUACCGGUGGCGAAGGCGGCCCCCUGGACAGAUACUGACACUCAGAUGCGAAAGCGUGGGGAGCAAACAGGAUUAGAUACCCUGGUAGUCCACGCCGUAAACGAUGUCUACUUGGAGGUUGUGGCCUUGAGCCGUGGCUUUCGGAGCUAACGCGUUAAGUAGACCGCCUGGGGAGUACGGUCGCAAGAUUAAAACUCAAAUGAAUUGACGGGGGCCCGCACAAGCGGUGGAGCAUGUGGUUUAAUUCGAUGCAACGCGAAGAACCUUACCUACUCUUGACAUCCAGAGAACUUUCCAGAGAUGGAUUGGUGCCUUCGGGAACUCUGAGACAGGUGCUGCAUGGCUGUCGUCAGCUCGUGUUGUGAAAUGUUGGGUUAAGUCCCGCAACGAGCGCAACCCUUAUCCUUGUUUGCCAGCACUUCGGGUGGGAACUCCAGGGAGACUGCCGGUGAUAAACCGGAGGAAGGUGGGGACGACGU
rnacentral:rRNA from 1 species